rnacentral:rRNA from 1 species
UACGGGGGGGGUAAGCGUUGUUCGGAAUUACUGGGCGUAAAGGGCUCGUAGGCGGCCAACUAAGUCAGACGUGAAAUCCCUCAGCUUAACUGGGGAACUGCGUCUGAUACUGGAUGGCUUGGAUUCGGGAGAGGAAUGCGGAAUUCCAGGUGUAGCGGUGAAAUUCGUAGAUAUUCGGAAGAACACCAGUGGCGAAGGCGACUCACUGGACACAUAUUGACGCUGAGGUGCGAAAGCGUGGGGAGCAAACAGG